GGACCUGGGUCUGUGUGGUGGGGAAUGGGAUCUGGGUCUGUGUGGGGGGAAUGGGAUCUGGGUCUGUGUGGUGGGGAAUGGGUUCACGGUCUGUGUGGUGGGGAAUGGGUUCACGGUCUGUGUGGUGGGGAAUGGGUUCACGGUCUGUGUGGGGGGAAUGGGAUCUGGGUCUGUGUGGUGGGGAAUGGGUUCACGGUCUGUGUGGUGGGGAAUGGGAUCUGGUUCUGUGUGGUAGGGAAUGGGAUCUGGGUCUGUGUGGUGGGGAAUGGGUUCACGGUCUGUGUGGUGGGGAAUGGGUUCACGGUCUGUGUGGUGGGGAAUGGGUUCACGGUCUGUGUGGUGGGGAAUGGGUUCACGGUCUGUGUGGUGGGGAAUGGGAUCUGGGACUGUGUGGUGGGGAAUGGGUUCACGGUCUGUGUGGUGGGGAAUGGGAUCAGGGUCUGUGUGGUGGGGAAUGGGUUCACGGUCUAUGUGGGGGGGGAAUGGGAUCUGGGUCUGUGUGGUGGGGAAUGGGUUCAAGGUCUGUGUGGUGGGGAAUGGGUUCACAGUCUGUGUGGGGGGGGAAUGGGAUCUGGGUCUGUGUGGGGGGAAUGGGAUCUGGGUCUGUGUGGGGGAAUGGGAUCUGGGUCUGUGUGGUGGGGAAUGGGUUCACGGUCUGUGUGGUGGGGAAUGGGUUCACGGUCUGUGUGGUGGGGAAUGGGUUCACGGUCUGUGUGGGGGG
ensembl:lncRNA